rnacentral:RNase_P_RNA from 1 species
CGCGCCUUUAAAGGUGAGGAAAGUCCGUGCAUUCAAGGACAGGCAGCCGGAGAAAGUCCGGACGGUGUGAACCGGUGGAAAGUGCCACAGGAACUAUACUGCCGAUGGGCGUAAGCCACAGGCGAUGGUGCAACGGUGAGGUAAGAGCAUCACCAGCGAUAUUGAGAAAUAUCGGCUAGGUAAACCCCUGCAGAAUGCAAGAUUGAAUCGAAGGUUACAAAGGCUGUCCGCCCACUUCGAAAAAAUCGCUAAUGAUUGAAAGUAAUUUUAAUCUCAGACAGAUGAUUGUUUAGAAACAGAACACGGCUUAUGAGUUACUU